AAUCAUCUGACCAUUUACUUUUACUUAAUGCUUUUACUCCUUGUGUAGGAUGUUCCUCUUCAACAUCCCAUCUCUUCCCAUCUUCUGGAGGAACUGGAGUUCAAAAUUAUGAACUAAAUAGGAGAAUUAAACCAGUUUUGAAGUAGUAACAUGUUUUCUUAGUAGACAGAGAGACACGAGUACAUAACCAUGAGCAUACUAGGACCAACAAAUAAAUCUUUUCCAAGUAAAAUGUGAAAAUAAGUUUUUAUAUGCAUAAACACAGCAGAUAUUCAAUAUUCAUUCCUUGCAAGCUGCUAGUGAAUAUAUAUUGUGUUCUCACUGUACAAGCAACACUAGACAUUGACAAAUCACAACUUUCAUAGAGAUGUUUCUUUUCUGAUUCAGCAGGGAAUUAUAGUAGAAAAGUCCAGGCAUUAGUGAUAACAGAAGUAACAAUUCUUAAUAAAACUUCUACCUUAAAGUUCGAUACCUUGGUGCCAGUUCAAUACCAUGGUGCCAGUGUUGUAAAGGCGCACUAGGUGCAAGUGCCUCCAAUAGCAAGAGGUGGUGACAUCAGCCAGGCGCGCCUCUGGUGAAUUUCAGUCAUUUUUUUUAUAUCCCAAUCUCGUUCAGCAGGAGAAUUAUAGUAGAGAAGUUCAGGCAUUAGUGAUAACAGAAGAAACAAUUCUUCAUAAAACUUCUACCUUAAAGUUCAAUACCUUAAUGCCAGGGUUGUUAUAGGUGCAUCUUUGCAAGUGCCUCCAAUAGCAACAGGCAGGCGACCUUGCCCAGGUGCACCAGGCGCAAGGCGAAUCAAGGAGCGCCUAUGUGUUCUCAACCACACUCGAUCAUAUAUCUCCAAUAGGGAGAACAACAUAAACAAGGGUUCUUCUUCCUCUCACUGUUGGCAGUUCAAAAAAGAAGAAGAAGAAGAAGAGAUUGAACUGGUGCUUUCCCACUGCUGCCCUGAGGUGCAUCAUCCUCCAAGGGAACUGGUACGGUUUUCUCAGUCUUUCUAUCCAGCAGUCCAGGUGGAAUAUAAUCAAAGCUUCCAUCUUCAGUAUCCAUAUCAACCUUGAAAAUUGACACAAGAAUGAAUUUAAAUCAAAAUGGUGGAAAAACUUACACAGUUAAAGUGUAAACUAUUUUAUAUGAUGAACAAAGCGAGGCUAUUUAUUGUAGUUCGACUCAUCUCAAAUUACACAGGCAAAAUGAUAACUAUGAGAAGUUUAUAAAAAGUCCACAUAAUUUGUUUUUCUAAUGUCCUGUAUUUAAGAAACACACACACACACA
rnacentral:misc_RNA from 1 species